GAGCAUGUGGUUUAAUUCGAAGCAACGCGAAGAACCUUACCAAAUCUUGACAUCCUUUGACCGCUCUAGAGAUAGAGUUUUCCUCUUCGGAGGACAAAGUGACAGGUGGUGCAUGGUUGUCGUCAGCUCGUGUCGUGAGAUGUUGGGUUAAGUCCCGCAACGAGCGCAACCCUUGAACUUAGUUGCCAUCAUUCAGUUGGGCACUCUAAGUUGACUGCCGGUGACAAACCGGAGGAAGGUGGGGAUGACGUCAAAUCAUCAUGCCCCUUAUGAUUUGGGCUACACACGUGCUACAAUGGACAAUACAAAGGGCAGCGAAACCGCGAGGUCAAGCAAAUCCCAUAAAGUUGUUCUCAGUUCGGAUUGUAGUCUGCAACUCGACUACAUGAAGCUGGAAUCGCUAGUAAUCGUAGAUCAGCAUGCUACGGUGAAUACGUUCCCGGGUCUUGUACACACCGCCCGUCACACCACGAGAGUUUGUAACACCCGAAGCCGGUGGAGUAACCAUUUUGGAGCUAGCCGUCGAAGGUGGGACAAAUGAUUGGGGUGAAGUCGUAACAAGGUAGCCGUAUCGGAAGGUGCGGCUGGAUCACCUCCUUUCUAA
rnacentral:rRNA from 1 species